UACGGGGGGGGGCAAGCGUUGUUCGGAAUUACUGGGCGUAAAGGCUCGUAGGCGGCCAACUAAGUCGGACGUGAAAUCCCCAGGCUCAACCUGGGAACUGCAUCCGAUACUGGAUGGCUUGAAUUCGGGAGAGGGAUGCAGGAUUCCAGGUGUAACGGUGAAAUGCGUAGAUAUCUGGAGGAAUACCGGUGGCGAAGGCGGCAUCCUGGACCGACAUU
rnacentral:rRNA from 1 species